rnacentral:rRNA from 1 species
UACGUAGGGGGCAAGCGUUGUCCGGAUUUAUUGGGUUUAAAGGGUCCGUAGGCGGAUCUGUAAGUCAGUGGUGAAAUCUCACAGCUUAACUGUGAAACUGCCAUUGAUACUGCAGGUCUUGAGUGUUAUUGAAGUAGCUGGAAUAAGUAGUGUAGCGGUGAAAUGCAUAGAUAUUACUUAGAACACCAAUUGCGAAGGCAGGUUACUAAGCAACAACUGACGCUGAUGGACGAAAGCGUGGGGAGCGAACAGG